GACGAACGCUGGCGGCGUGCUUAACACAUGCAAGUCGAACGGUGAUCUUGAGAGCUUGCUCUUGGGUGAUCAGUGGCGAACGGGUGAGUAACACGUGAGUAACCUGCCCCAGACUCUGGGAUAACCCCGGGAAACCGGAGCUAAUACCGGAUAUGACACUCGCACGCAUGUGCAGGGUGUGGAAAGUUUUUCGGUCUGGGAUGGACUCGCGGCCUAUCAGCUUGCUGGUGAGGUAGUGGCUCACCAAGGCGACGACGGGUAGCCGGCCUGAGAGGGCGACCGGCCACACUGGGACUGAGACACGGCCCAGACUCCUACGGGAGGCAGCAGUGGGGAAUAUUGCACAAUGGGCGAAAGCCUGAUGUAGCGACGCCGCGUGAGGGAUGACGGCCUUCGGGUUGUAAACCUCUUUCAGCAGGGAAGAAGCGAAAGUGACGGUACCUGCAGAAGAAGCACCGGCUAACUACGUGCCAGCCGCCGCAGUAACAC
rnacentral:rRNA from 1 species